GAUGAAGAACGCAGUGAACGUGCGAAACGUAAUGUGAAUUGCAGAAUUCAGUGAAUCAUCGAAUCUUUGAACGCAUCUUGCGCUCCUUGGUAUUCCGAGGAGCAUGCCUGUUUGAGUGUCGUGAAGUACUCUCAAUUUCAAUCUUUUUCUUGGUUUGGAAUUGGAUUUGGGUGAUUGUUGUGUUUCACAGCUCAUCCUAAAUGCAUUAGCGAUCUGCCUUUGAUCACACACAAUGUGAUAAGAAAAAGCAUUGUUAGCAUCGAGUCAGGGUUGCUUCGAACCGUCCUUUCGGACAUCAUUCUAUGUCAUUUGACCUCAGAUCAGGCAGGACUACCCGCUGAACUUAAGCAUAUCAAUAAGCGGAGGA
rnacentral:misc_RNA from 1 species